rnacentral:rRNA from 1 species
GACGAACGCUGGCGGCGUGCCUAAUACAUGCGAGUAGAACGCUGAAGCGAGGAGCUUGCUCUUCUUUCGUGAGUUGCGAACGGGUGAGUAACGCGUAGGUAACCUGCCUGGUAGCGGGGGAUAACUAUUGGAAACGAUAGCUAAUACCGCAUAACAUGGUUUAUCGCAUGAUAAUCCAUUGAAAGUUGCAAAUGCAUCACUACCAUAUGGACUUGCGUCGUAUUAGCUAGUUGGUGGGGUAACGGCUCACCAAGGCGACGUUACAUAGCCGACCUGAGAGGGGGAUAGGCCACACUGGGAAGGAGACAAGGCCCAGAAUGCUACGGGAGGGAGCAGUAGGGAAACUGCGGGAAUGGGCGGAAGUCUGAACGAGCAAAGCCGCGGGAGGGAAGAAGGGUUUCGGAUCGGAAAGCACUGUUGUAAGAGAAGAAAGAGUGUGAGAGUGGAAAGUUCACAGUGUGACGGUAUCUUACCAGAAAGGGACGGCUAACUACGUG